GCAGUCGAGGGGCAGCAUAAUGAAUAGCAAUAUUUAUUGAUGGCGACCGGCGGACGGGUGCGUAACGCGUAUGCAACCUGCCCGGGACAGGAGGAUAAUCCGAAGAAAUUUGGUCUAAUACUCCGUAAUACUGACGAAGGCAUCUUUGUCGGUUGAAAACUGAGGUGGUUCCGGAUGGGCAUGCGUGAUAUUAGCUAGAUGGAGAGGUAACGGCUCACCAUGGCUACGAUAUCUAGGGGAACUGAGAGGUUAAUCCCCCACACUGGUACUGAGACACGGACCAGACUCCUACGGGAGGCAGCAGUGAGGAAUAUUGGACAAUGGGGGGAACCCUGAUCCAGCGACGCCGCGUGAGUGAAGAAGUAUUUCGGUAUGUAAAGCUCUGUCAGCAGGGAAGAAAGAAAUGACGGUACCUGACCAAGAAGCCCCGGCUAACUACGUGCCAGCAGCCGCGGUAAUACGUAGGGGGCAAGCGUUAUCCGGAAUUACUGGGUGUAAAGGGAGCGUAGACGGUUAAGUAAGUCUGGAGUGAAAGGCCGGGGCCCAACCCCGGGACUGCUCUGGAAACUAUUGAACUUGAGUGCAGGAGAGGUAAGCGGAAUUCCUAGUGUAGCGGUGAAAUGCGUAGAUAUUAGGAGGAACACCAGUGGCGAAGGCGGCUUACUGGACUGUAACUGACGUUGAGGCUCGAAAGCGUGGGGAGCAAACAGGAUUAGAUACCCUGGUAGUCCACGCCGUANACGAUGAUUACUAGGUGUCGGUGGGUAUGGACC
rnacentral:rRNA from 1 species